rnacentral:tRNA from 1 species
GGGAAUAUGGCGGAAUUGGUAGACGCGCCGGCUUCAGGAGCCGGUAACGCUUGCGUUGUGAGAGUUCGAGUCUCUCUAUUCCCACCG